CUGCCGGUGAAAGCCCGGCCCGGGUAGUUGCCAGGAAGCCCGGUAGCAGGCUGGCGGCUCGGUCUGGAAACGGGUCGGGUCGAAGCCCAGCGUCAAAAGCCACGGUGGUGGAAGCAACUGAGCGGUCCGUAGCGUGA
rfam:Mycobacterium kansasii strain 1010001458 NODE_10_length_113915_cov_35.4666_ID_1566, whole genome shotgun sequence.